AGGCCGGCGCAAUGAAAAACGGUGGGGGAUCAUAUUUAAAUGUAUGACGACCAGAGGAGUCUACAUUGAUUUACUUCCUAAAAUUGAUACAGAUUCAUUCCUCAUGGCCCUACGCAGAUUCACUGCACGCAGAGGAACUCCCCAUGAACUCUAUUCUGACCGGGGAACCAACUUCAAGGGAGGAGAAAGGGAACUAUCAGAAGCAUUUGCGGCCAUGCAACCCAAUCUGCAAAGUCAGCUUGCAAAGCAGAAAAUUCAGUUUAAAUUCAAUCCCCCUGGAGCUCCUCAUUUUGGUGGACUAUGGGAGAGGGAGAUCAGGUCUCUAAAAUCUGCUCUCAAUGUUACCCUUGGAGCCCAACAUGUAACUGAGGAAGUGCUUAGCACAGUGCUUACAGAGAUCGAAGGCAUGUUAAACUCCAAACCCCUGGGCUACGUGUCAUCGGACAUUGCAGAUGUUGACCCCAUCACACCAAACAGCCUGUUAUUGGGGCGGCCAGACCCUGAUUUACCACAAAUUGUAUACCCUGAGUCCGAAUUACUUAGCAGAAAACGCUGGAGACAUAGCCAGGUCCUUGCCGACCAUUUUUGGGCCCACUUCAUCAAGAGAUACUUGCCUGAACUGCAAACUCGUACAAAGUGGAUUACUGAGACUGGCAAAGAUCUAAAGACCGGGACAGUAGUGAUGAUAGUGGAUCACCAAUUGCCUCGAGCCCUCUGGCCAGUGGGUAAGGUCUCAGCCACAGUACCCGGUGCUGAUGGGAAAAUUAGAACUGCUGAAGUACAAGUGCAGGGUCGGAAAUACAUCCGACCAGUGAGUAAACUUAUCUGUUUGCCACCUCUACCUGAGGAUAACAAAGACUCGUAAGCCUUUUCUAAGUAGAAUUUACAACGUAAAUUGGGGCGGCUGUUGAAAAGGCUCUAAGUUAAUUCUUAUUGGUGGGUGAAUGAUUGACAGUCGUAACUUAGUCCCGCCCCCAGAGGGUGACGCAACUUAUGUUUCGCUUGAAGGCUGUGGAGGGCUCGCGUGUAUUCAAGCCAUAGAUGAGUGUGCGUAACUUUGAAAAAACCACACUCACACACCCUUAAUAUGUUCAUGCCAUGCCCUGAGUAUGUUGAUGGCUUGAUCCUACUAUUAAAACAGUGAUUGGACUUUGGACUUUUGUGCAUUCUUACCGAUGUCCUGUGAUGAUCCCAACUAAGUCGGAACCAGGCAAUACAGUCCAUAAACCUAAUUAACAAACA
ensembl:lncRNA